UUGGAGGGCACGUCUGGUGCCAGCAGCCGCGGUAAUUCCAGCUCCAAUAGCGUAUAUUAAAGUUGUUGCAGUUAAAAAGCUCGUAGUUGAAUUUCGGGAUCAAUUUAUUGGUCGUGCUAUUGUACGUACUGGUAUUAUUGAUUCCUACCUUCUGACAAACCAUGGUGUCAUUAAUUUGGUGUCAUGGGAAAUCAGGACUGUUACUUUGAAAAAAUUAGAGUGUUUAAAGCAGGCUCACGCUUGAAUACAUUAGCAUGGAAUAACGAAAUAGGACGUUUGAUUCUAUUUUGUUGGUUUCUAGGAUCGACGUAAUGAUAAAUAGGGAUAGUUGGGGGCAUUAGUAUUCAAUUGUCAGAGGUGAAAUUCUUGGAUUUAUUGAAGACUAACUACUGCGAAAGCAUUUGCCAAGGAUGUUUUCAUUAAUUAAGAACGAAAGUUAGGGGAUCGAAGACGAUCAGAUACCGUCGUAGUCUUAACCAUAAACUAUGCCGACUAGGGAUCGGAUGAUGUUAUUUUAAUGACUCAUUCGGCGCCUUACGGGAAACCAAAGUGUUUGGGUUC
rnacentral:rRNA from 1 species